rnacentral:rRNA from 1 species
UACGUAGGGAGCAAGCGUUGUCCGGAUUUAUUGGGCGUAAAGAGCUCGUAGGCGGUUCGGUAAGUCGGGUGUGAAAACUCCAGGCUCAACCUGGAGAUGCCACUCGAUACUGCUGUGACUUGAAUCUGGUAGGGGAGCACGGAAUUCCUGGUGUAGCGGUGAAAUGCACAGAUAUCAGGAGGAACACCAAUUGCGAAGGCAGCUCGCUGGGACGUCACUGACGCUGA